CAUAUAAGUGAGGCAUAAAAAAUUAAUACAAAUAAAAUAAAAAGUAGUUUACAUCCAGAUUGAUAAUAAAUUAAUAUAAAUAUCAAUAGCUUUUUCUUAAUGAUACAUUAAUUAGAAAGUGGGCCGAUAGGAAGAUGAAGCAUCGGGCAGAGAUAGGGAUGAGAAGGCGAGACAUCAAAGAGUGGGGUGAAAGAGAAAUUGCCGCGUGGCAAACUCUAUGAGAAAUAAUAUAUAGGUAUAGAGGUAUAGAUAUGUAAAUUAUAUAUAUUGUUCUCUGACAGCCUAUAAAUUUUUGGAGAGCAAGGAUUAUUUCAUAUUAUUUAACAUAAUAUCAUGGUAAACGAUUCUGAGCUUGAGUCGCGUCUGGCCCCUAGUCUUAUUUCAUUUUUUCCUAUUUAAUUCAAAUUCAUUAUAUUCUAUGCCUAUCAAAAAGUUUCGAGCCCAGAUGCAAGGAGGAAUGUUGCAUAUAUAAAUUAAAAGCAUCGUUCUCUGACAGCUUAAACUUGUAUUGAAUAUAUAAGUAAAAAAUAUUGUUCUCUGACAACUUAAACUUCUAGAAAAAACGAUUGUUUCAUAAAAUUUCACAAAUCAGUCUCAUCCG
rnacentral:lncRNA from 1 species